rnacentral:rRNA from 1 species
UUUCCGGUUGAUCCUGCCGGACCUGACUGCUAUCGGAUUGAUACUAAGCCAUGCGAGUCUUUGUAGUAAUACAAGGCAGACGGCUCAGUAACACGUAGUCAACCUACCCUAUGGACAAGAAUAAUCUCGGGAAACUGGGCAUAAUUCUUGAUAGAUCAUAAUGCCUGGAAUGGUUUAUGGUUAAAAUGAUUCGUCGCCAUAGGAUGGGACUGCGGCCUAUCAGCUUGUUGGUGAGGUAAUGGCCCACCAAGGCGAUUACAGGUACGGGCUCUGAGAGGAGAAGCCCGGAGAUGGGUACUGAGACACGGACCCAGGCCCUAUGGGGCGCAGCAGGCGAGAAAACUUUGCAAUGUGCGAAAGCACGACAAGGUUAAUCCGAGUGAUUUCUGCUAAAGAAAUCUUUUGCCAGUCAUAAAACCACUGGUGAAUAAGGGGUGGGCAAGUUCUGGUGUCAGCCGCCGCGGUAAAACCAGCACCUCAAGUGGUCAGGAUGAUUAUUGGGCCUAAAGCAUCCGUAGCCGGCUUUGUAAGUUUUCGGUUAAAUCCAUGUGCUCAACGCAUGGGCUGCCGAAAAUACUGCAUGGCUAGGGAGUGGGAGAGGUAGACGGUACUCAGUAGGAAGGGGUAAAAUCCUUUGAUCUAUUGAUGACCACCUGUGGCGAAGGCGGUCUACCAGAACACGUUCGACGGUGAGGGAUGAAAGCUGGGGGAGCAAACCGGAUUAGAUACCCGGGUAGUCCCAGCUGUAAACGGUGCAGACUCGAUGAUGCAUUGGCAUAAUAGCCAGUGCAGUGUCGCAGGGAAGCCGUUAAGUCUGCCGCCUGGGAAGUACGUACGCAAGUAUGAAACUUAAAGGAAUUGGCG